CGUCAAGUCAUCAUGCCCCUUAUGUCCAGGGCUGCACGCAUGCUACAAUGGCCGGUACAACGGGACGCGACCCCGCGAGGGUGAGCAAAUCCCAAAAAGCCGCUCUCAGUUCGGAUUGCAGGCUGCAACUCGCCUGCAUGAAGCCGGAAUCGCUAGUAAUCGCGGAUCAGCAUGCCGCGGUGAAUACGUUCCCGGGCCUU
rnacentral:rRNA from 1 species